AAAUCUUCAACAUACAGUCACAACUAAACACACUAUUUUGUUUAGAUGUCCCCAUUUUCUGACCCACCCAAAUCUGCCAAAGGGAAAACAUUAAAUUUUUCCUGAGUAAAUGUUCUUCUUAUCUUGAUAUUUGACAGAUUUAUCAGGUACAUUGGAAGUGACAAAUAUGAAAGUGUGAAAAAGGCAUAAAAAGUAUUAGAUUGACGAAUCGUAAUCCCAGCUAUCAGAUAUAGCAUCUGUAUAUCCUUGAUGCACUAGGAUCAGUUUAGCUCCAUCAUAUCCUUGAGGUAAAAGAGGUCAAAAAUUCAAAAUGCAUAGGAACCAGCUGCAUUUUUUGCUUCCAUGGACCGAUGCCCCCCAAUACUGAUCAAAAACGUUGUGAAACCCACUUAACAAUAGCCUUCAACUAUACAACUUAACAAUAACUUUUAGACCAAAGAGCAAAGCUAAUAAUAAUUACACUUCGUUCAGCAUGAACUAAUCCUCAUUUGGCAGAUAUAGGAACUGUCAGUGUGUUAUGUUUUUUAAAAAAUGACUCCUUUCUAACAAACUUAGAUUCACUGUGGCCAAAAGACGAUGUCAAUAUACCAGUUUUGAGGUGACAGUACAGUUCUGAACGAGCUUUCCAUCUUGUUUCAUAGAAUUAUAAUAGUUCAUUUAAGGUUCUAAUGAAUAACACAAUAAAAAUAAAAUUGUUUCUACGUUACAAACCUAAUGUUAUGAUUGAGCCUCAUGGCUCUGUUACUGACAGACGUGGGCGUAAGACUCCUCGAGAGUCAGAUACUCUCGAGGAGCGAGAGAGAAAAAGACUGCGAGACAUAUUUGCAGCACCAUCUGACGAAGAGUCUUUCGAGGGGUUUACGGAGAGAAUGGAGGAGGGGCUGGUUAGCUCGGAGGAGGAUGAGAUGGAUUGGACUCGGGUAAGGGAGGAAUUGGGUGCCACUGGCCAUGAUGGGAUAGAAGAUGAAUGGGGACCUUCAGGAUUAGACCCAUGGCUUAGCUGGAGGGAUGGGACGGGAUCCACAGCUGGAGAUGCUGCUGGGCGUAGUCAGAGGUGUUCCAGCUCUGACGAGGAAAGUGAUGAGGAAACGCCCGGGUUAAGGAGGACAGCUGACAGUGAUGAGGAUUUGUAACUGGCAUAAAAUGGGGCUUGGGAGCAAUUGCAAAUUGCGUUGGGCAAGGUAAUCUGGACAAACGCUUGGGAUCUGUGUGUGUGGGACGCUUUCCUGAAGACUGGUGUGUUUUCCUGUGCUGAGACCUUGACCUUCCGUCGUCUUCUUGACGGACGCCAUCUCCUGCUUUGAAAACUCGGACUGAACUGACCACGGCUUGUCUUCCCCCCUUCUUGGACUUGGAAAACUACAAACGUCUGCUUCUGGCUUUGAUCUACGGAACGGAACUGGUCUACUCUACUGCUACAAUCCUUGGCUGAUCUGCUCGUGUUGGAAAUCCUGUCUGCUGUGUGUGUGUGGGAGCGACGCAAGUUACUCUAAGCACAGUGUUGGCAGCAGAGAGGAAUCUGCUGCCAAUUAGUUGCAUUCUUUGUAUCUUUUGUUCCUUGGCUUUCGUUUUGUUUAUCUCCAGGCUGAAGCAAGCAGUUUGUUUUUACCCGGAUUAAACUCCGGUUUAAUCCGGUUUAUCUUUUGAACAUUUAUUUUUGUCCCUUUUUGCUCCUAAAGGCAAAUACUGCCUGGCCCUUGUGUUUUACGGGCAUUUUUUGAGUUCUGUAAUCUAAUAAACUCUGUUACUUUGAA